UUAGGUGGAUGGUUGAUGAAGGAAAUCAUUGCUCAUUCCUGCACAGUGAACCAUGACAAACAAGUACAGGCUUUACACUGGUCCUGCAAAACUCACGCGUGUCAUCUUGCUCCAAAAUGAGCUACAUCAACCGCAUGGCUCAGCACCACCUCCUAUCUCAGGUUUCCUGAGAAAAGGAAGGCACUGGAGUGAAGCAGAGGCUCCACUGGAUUGAUUGAACAGUGAACAGAAGUGACAAUCCCAGAGUUUGACUUGUGAUCCUGCCAUGAGUGAUCUUUCAGCAGAGCCGGUCUUGGACAUUCUGAAUGCCCACACAUCUCCCUAUCAGCAUCGCCACCAACUUCUCUUCAAAGCGAAUAGUCCAAGUUUCAUGCUCCUGCCUUGCGGUGAAAUACGACUGCAUCUAGAAGAUCUUGGCUAAAUAUAACAUGGGCCAACUAUGGUAAAUAUAGUGGGCCAUGGACAUAUGUUCACGUAAGCAAAGUACAAUUUGUCAUUUAUAAGCCACCAUGGUGGAGCGCUUUGCACAUCCAUAAGAAGGGAUAACAUUUCCAGUUAGGUGUGUUGACACAUUAUAGAAUAUUGAGAAAUGCAUUUUCAGAGACUCACUUCUGAUAGUACAGCUUUUUCUUUAAAGUAGAGUCUGGCUUUGGAAAAGAUGGCCACUAGAGAAUUGGAGUAAAUAUUUACAAAGACUUUUUUGAGAACUGAGGAUAUCAGAAGCUCUUUGCUCAGAACUUUUAUCCAUCAUUAAAGUAGAUGCCCUGGAGCCUGGCCGUGGCCGGAGCUCUCCUCUGCCCCCAACACACCCGCUGUUUGGAAAGAACCACAGCAGAUCUGAUGUGUCGGCACAUCCCAGAAAAAUAAGACUCUGCAGGUCAGUUCCUCCAGGGCAGAGCAUCCAACAGAAUGACAGCUAUAUCAGUAGCCAGAAAUAGACAUCAGUGAAUCUAAAGCAUUCAAGUUAAAGAGUCUAAAUUGAGAAAUCAAAAUUUUAUGUAUAACUAGAGGCAUGAUAAUUGAUGAUUUGGAACACCAGGAAACAAUGUUUACAUUUCAAACACAGAGAGCUUGAUUUUCCUGGCAUGAACACGAAAAAGACAAAAAGGAUAUGCACAGUUACACAGGCGGAAACAUGUUUCCACGAUGAACAUUUCACUAAAAAUGACAGAGAGCUUCUGGGAAAACCUGGAGUUCAAGAGCACUGAGAAGCAGGAAAGGGGUGGACACACAGAGAUGAGGCUAAAGGGGCAGAGCCGCCCUUUAACACCCAGAGAGAAUCACAUUUUAUUGUUUUCCCCUUUGCCUGGUCCCUGCAGCAACUAACAGUAAGGAGAGGAAAGUCUAUCUGCUAUGUCCCCCAAAAAACAAUGCCAUGAUAAUACAAUUCUAUGGGGCUAAACACCAGAAGAAAUGCAGAUAAGGUCAAAGAGGAUAUUAUGGAAAGGAUGUGAUAAAUAUAUUGGGUCAUGAGAGAACACUAGAGAGGAAGAGGUGAAUUGUGAAGCUGGUCAAUGGAAAAGGGGAAAAAACAGCAAAAAGCAUUUGCCAAGGGUUUGUAUAAACAAGAAGCGGAAGUGAAAUGCUCUCCCAAACGCUCAGUGAGAUGUGGGAAUAAACAGAGUUACUGGCCAUCUGAACAGAAAAAGAAGUGGCAGGGAAGGGAUGCUUUGGGAAGAAAUACCAACAGCAAACUGUUUUACCCAGCACUCCCAUGCUCCGGAGCAUAUUGACCUCAUUUGGUGUGCAGGUGGCCUCAUCUGAGAAGCAAAGAAGUGUCAGGAGGAAAACAGAGUCCUACAACAGGGCUUCCCCAGGAUGCUGGAAGCUGGAGGGGUCAUUAACAUGCGCAGCAGGUGGUAGCUGAGCCUCCUGAGUUAAUAGGAUCCCCAGGUAAAAUAGCAGAAGGCCAAAUGAGAAAGGCAAAAGAUGGGACAGGCGCUAAAAGAAAUGCUAAAGUCACAAAAAUAAGAAUCGGAUUAUACAGUGGAUUAGAAAGAGGAAGUAUUAAAUUUUAGUAGAAAGAGAAAGAAAAAAAACCUGAAAAAUAAAAUAGGAAAUGGAGAAGGAGCUCAACACAGAACACAAUACUCAACUCAGUUCACAAAACUUCUGCAAACUGGAGACAAUUCAAUUAUGUUGCUCCACAACUACCAAAGAUGUUAGUAAGUGUUAACCAGACCUACCACUUCGGACCUCCAGAACUUUCAUUGUGUUUCCACCCCUGAGCUGCUAGGACAGGAUCAACGUAGUCACAAGAGGAGCAAAAACACAUUUCAAGCUUCAGGUGGUUCUGAAAGGCAGUAAAACAUCUUUGCCUUCUACCAUUCUACCAGGUCAGUGCUCUGUGAUCAUCAGCAAGUUCGAUCUACUCAUCGCUAUCAUUUGGGUGUUUAAAUAUCUGAAGCCACUGAGAUGAAUUUUCCACAAGAGCAUAGCCACUGCAGUAGAGUUAGUUUCCUUGGCUUUCAGUUUAAAUUCUUUUCAUUUACAUCCUUGUCUUCUUUUUUCCCAGUCUCACCUUGCUGGCAAUGAGGGUAUUCCUGGACAUGUCCCUGUCUUCCUUCCACCUUCUUAACUUCUUGAAAAGACACAUUGCCAGUUACCAUAAGUGUGUGUCUAACCAUGUCUGAGCCAAAGGGCACGUAUCUGGGCUUUUAAUCCUUAUUCAGAAAGCUGCUUUUUGAAAUUAUAAAAAUAUCUUUCUCCUUAUUUUGUGACUUUCCAGCAUAUGCAUAUAUUCUCUGCCUUCCUACUUUCUCAAAAUGAAUAGUUUGAAAAAGUGUCAUCCAUCAGCCAGAAGCAGGUUGAAGGAAGAAGCAUUUUUCCCUCUACCCUGCCCACUCCAAUAUUUUAAAAGUCUAUUAUUCUCCAUGUUUGUGGAAAGGCGCCUGCCAUCUUUCAAUCCCCCUUGAAUGCAAUCUUGCAUGGCUUAAGAUUUUGCAAUAGUUUAUGGAGUCAACUGCAUGCUAGAAUUUAGCUUUUGUGGUAUAGCCUCUGUGCGUGUGUGUGUGUGUGUGUGUGUGUGUCCUAAAAGGAAGGUGUUCUUUUCACCUCUUUGCUGCAGCAGAGAAUAAAAGCCCCCACAGUUUACAUUCGCUUUGUCAGCCCGUAAGCAACCAUCUGUUUCAGCUGGGGAGUGCGAUCUGUCAGUUUUGUUUUAGGUUGUGAUGCAGUGGCAGGAGCUCCCUCAUUGUUGUCUUCUUAGAGAACCGCAAAGUAAUUAACCAUUCCGGUACUGGCUACAAAAGAGAUGGCCACUCUCAAUGUUGGGCCAGAUUUUUGCUUUCUCCAGUGCUGGAAGUACUACAAAAAACUGAAUAGCUAUUCAUUGUGUUUCAUUGUUCCCUAAAGAGGCAACAUGCUCUUUGUUAUAAAGGCAACCUUGAUUUUCAACAUACCAUUUCAUUUCAAUGUCCGGGUGCAGCAGACGGACAAUCAAACCAUGUUGGUGAUGAACACCCUGAGAGGCCUUAUUCACGCACACGUGAUCAUAAAAUGUCUUUCCGGGUGAUGGGAGGUGUGAGCUGAGGUUGGGGAGAAAAUAGGGUAGGAGAGUGGAUUUGAUAUGAUUGGGAUGGAUGCUUUCCUGAUUGAGUAAAAGUUCAUGAGGCACAGUCCUAAUAAAUAAAGGACCCGUGGAGAGAGAUAAGAGUCAACAGGUUUUAUACCCCACUGUUUCUCAGAUUGUUCCUCUUUAUCUCUUUUUCUUUCUCUGUGGUCUUGGACAUAAUGUUUUGACUCUUUUCCCAUCCAUACACUGUGCCUAAAUUAAAUUCUGAAUUAGCAGACAUUGAAAAACACCUCUAAAAUGAUACACAGAGUAGGUCUUAACCACUUUUGGAAGUGCUAAACCUAUGAAGAGAAAAUUCAGGAAAAAUGAACAAUUUAUUGUUUUGUCUCUCACAUAAGGAUGUCUGAGACUGUAAUAGAUAUUUAUGAAGUUAAUGGAGCUGAUUAAGCAUAAACUCUAUCUCUAUUUCCAAUGAUCUCUUCUCUCUUUACACAAAAUUAAAAAGUUGGAUGAAACCAACUAUCAGAUGAGAUGAGAAGAUACUUGCAGGGAUGUGGACUAGGUAUUCCACACCCGCACCUGUUCUAGCCAUGUACACAGUAGCAGGAUUGGAGUAAUUAGGUUCUUAUCUUCCCAACAUAUCCUCUAAAAGUCAUUUGGUCAAUUUCCCUGACAGCUUACUAAAUUUCUUGAUUUUUCUAAUUAACAUUUAUUAUGCUUUAAGUAAUAAACUCGCAAGAUAUUUUACUUUGCAAUUAAAGCUACUCCUUAUUCAUUAAUGAGAGUAAUUAAUCCAUGUCCUCUUCUCAAUGUUCCUUUCAUAGUUCCUCAAUGUUUCCAUUCCUCCAUUGAACAUUUACUGGUUUUAUUUUUCCUUAUAGAUGCUUAGUUACCUAUGUUUUGGGUCCAGUCUUUUGAUGGUUUCCUUUUUUAAAAGCUGUGCACGUAAACAGUUUUGAGGUCUAACCAAUACUCUGUGGAACAGGCAUGUACACUUCCACUAUUUUAGAAAUAAGACUCUUUAAAUUAGGAAAGUUACUAUGUUUGAAGUUAAUCAUGUACUCAACUCACUUAUUGCCCUUGUGAUUCUCUAUAUGACUUUAAAACUUUUGGAGGCCUGUAUUUGUGUAAUGAAAAUUUGAAUUAGAAUUAUGUGAAAGUUUCUGGUGCCUUAUCUAAGUUUAAUUUUAAAGAAUCAUUUUGCUUCUUUCAUAAGGAGAGAAUGUUCUGGAUCUGCCCUUGAGUUAUAUCUAGAUCUGUGUAGCCAGGUCAAGUGGGCAUAGUUUUAUGCACAUACUGACUCAACAGGUAUCUUUGUCCGUCCUGCUGCCUGUAUCCAAAAUGAUAGAAUAAUAGAAAUCAGUCUUACCAAGGUACAGUCUUCUAGGAAACACUGAACCCCAGUAAAGACCAAGUUCUUGGAAAAAUUGCAAAGUAUAUUUUAAAUGUAUGUUUCUGAACUGUUCAUUAAAAUUCAGCAUCCUGGAAGGCAGGUUCAAUAUUUUAUUCAACUUUGUAAUUAUUCCAUUUCUUCCCCUUUCUCAACCCCAGUGCUUCUGGUCACUAAGAAGAUUCAAACAGAGUAGAAACCCACAAAAGGUCUAAGAUACUUGACUGUACCCUAUCUUUCCCCAUUUCCCAAUUCUUCUCCAGGAUUCCCAAACAGAAUUCCCCUGCAAAUCUGCUCUUUCCAAGGACUCAGAAUGUUUUCUUCUAUUACAUAAAUAGUCAAAAAAAAAAGUCUUCUAAACUAAUGUAUCCUAUACAUUAAAAUACAUAAUGGAACAAGAAAAAAAAUGUAUAUUCUUAAAGUGGAACAUGUUUUCCAUUGUUUCAUUUACAGCUUCACAGUGUGUAUCUCCAUAAACCAUUACAACUCCAUGAAAAGUCAGUUUUUUUUUUUUUCAACAAAGUGAUCCAUGAAAAUCAUGCUCUCAUUCUUUACAUCAAAAACCUAGGUUCCACAGGAAAGUGUCCACCAUAUAUGUAGUGUUUAAAGGAGAAAAAAAAUAAUGUCUCCUUUCAAGAUAAGAAAUACUUCAACAUAAUUUGGAUUAGUAAAGGAUUAAGUACACAUAUUCUACUAGGCCCAAGAAAUACUAUGAGAUGAAUAUACAGUAUCACCUUUGCUAAGUAUUAAAAUGAACAGGGGAGAGGAGAUUCUAGACUCUUGAAGGAGAACCAUCUUUGUUGAUUUUCCUCCCUUGAUCUUCAAAUAAAUUGAAACUAUUACUAUUUACUAGUCCUGCAAGUGUUAAACCAAGGUCUUAAAAAGAAGGAAGCAUUUUCAACAUUGUUCUCCCUAAGAAAAAGCAUCAACACUGAUAAUGUGUUUUCUGAAAGAAAAUCUUUUGUACUAUCAAUAAACAAGAUGAAAAUUAUCUCAAACCUCUCCCAGUUUAGUUUCUAUAUUAAUAUAUGAAAUGUUGAUUUGUGAUAUGAAAGUAGAGUCCCACAGACUUUGAAGACUUGCACGGUAACAGUCUAGAGAAGAAUUCACCAAACUAUGACCUUCAGGUCAGUUGCCUGCUUUUUUUAAAUAUAAAGUUUUAUUGGAGCAUGGCCAUGCCCUUUGCUUACUUGCUUUUUCUUUUUCUAAUUUGUUCUUUUUAAGUAUACAUUACAUACUUGGAAUAUGUCAUACUCUAAGAUACAAAAUACACUCAGAGUGUAUUUUGACAUAUUAUACAUACACAGAAUAUAACUUUCCAUUCUUGUGGUUGUACGUGAUGUGGAGUUACCCUGGUCAGUAUUGAUAAAUGAAUAUAGGAAAAUUAUGUCUGAUUCAUUCUACUGUCUUUCCCAUUGUUUAUAGCUGUUUUCCAGGUACAAAGGCCUCCCUGGAUCUUCUACCAAAUCAGGUAGUUGUUCCUAGCAGUCACUGGGUUUCCACUAGGUAGUGGAGGGAAGGAAGAUGGGGCAGCUUGGAAUGAGAAUUCUCUGCGUAAAUAUUCGGGGUGGGAAGUGUUGAUCUGCAUGCCCAUUAGAAGGGACAAACUCAUUAGAACAAUUUUCAACAAUUUCAUUUCUAUUUGUAUCUGCCAUAACUAUUUACAUUUAGAUCUCCAUUUUAAAAAAAUAAGGUUUAAAAACAAAAAUGAAAAGAAAUUUACUGACCCAAAUCAUCUGAGACCAAUGAAUGUCUACAUUUAUCUGGUUAAUGUCAUCUCUGGAUAAAUGAGAUUAGGGUACCCUGUUCCAGAUCACAGAUAUUUUCUAUCCAGGAAAACAGUUACUUAGUUCUUCUUCAUCUUCCAGAAGAUUACAAAAAUGUCUGCCCUAGUUGUUUGUUUAUUGUUUAGGCUUUUUUUCCUUGAGUGAGGGUUACUUGUUGGUUCUCUUUUCAAUUGUGCUCAAAUCUGUGGACCUGGCUGUAGCACAAACCCCCAAACAACUGGAACCUGGCAAAAGAAGGAACCUCAAAAGGAAAGUGCCAACUGCAACAUAUGAAAUGAAAACAAGCAGUCACAGAAAAUUAUACCACAACCAUUUUAUCAGGUAGAAAUCAGAAUGGUGGGUUUUUACCUAUUCAGUCGAGAAAACAAACAAACAAACAAAAAACAAUAACAAAAAAAACCCUGAAUUUUGUUACAUGAUAGUAUUUCUGUUUUUUUAGAUUUUUUCAUGAGCUAUAGAUUAUUAAUCUAUAGGGAAAAGGUUUCAUUCAAUUCUAAAUCACUUCAGUGAUUAGAAAAUUACCUUGGUAACUGGCACUUUGAGAUCAUUGGAUAAAGAAGAUAGCAAACAACUCUGGUAUUUACAGAAAUGGUCUUUCUCAUUAAUACAUCAAGCAUUUAUUGGCAAGUGUUUAUGAGGGAAUGUUGGAGGAAUUCAUAACACCACAGUGAAAACAUGUGUGAGUUGUUUCAGCUCAUAGGUUCACAAAAGACGAAUAAUCACCUGUAAAUAGAGUUUUUCAAUCCACUGGAUAAGAACAGUAAGGUAAAUGCAUUGAACCUAAGGAUUAGAUAUCUGGGGAAGGAACUGAUCAGAAUUUACAGAUAUGUGGCAUUGCCACUGCUGAACAUUUCUGUAGAAUCACAUUUUCCAAAUACUUCUGUCUCUUCUCAAAUGCUUCAUGCUCGGCCUUCUGAUUGACAGCUGAUGAAUCAGACCUCCUGCAACCAUAUCCUAAUUUGUCUUAAUCUGUCCAAAGAAACAAGCAGAGGAAGAGGAGUCUGUUUGGAGUGAAACAGUCCAGCAGGGUUUGGAAAUGAUUCGCUCACUGAGCAAUGACUUCUGAAGAGUAACAAGGCUGCGGAACUACUUAAGUGAUCUUUUUAUACAAAUGUAAAAAAAUAAAGACAAUUCUAAGAAUUAUAUUAUUCUGUCUAAUUCAAAGUUUUAGCUAAAACUUAAAUACUUUGUAAGGAGAACAAUGUCUAAAUGGAAAUAUAAGACCAAAAGAGGGGUUUGCUUAGUUAUUAAUAUACCUACCAUGGGAACACUGAUCUGGGAACAUCCUGUGGAAACAUUUUGAAAAUGAUAGAUUCACUCAUAGAAGAUGUUGUUUACAGUCUUUGAAAUUAAAAUCUGAAGUUAAUUGAAUAAACAAGCCUAUUCUUGUCUUAUGGAUUUUUCUGGGAAAUACAUAAAAAUUAGAAGCUUCUCGGUAACCAAAUCAUUUUGAAAUUCCAUAGAGAUGGUUGCUUCAAAGAAUUCCACAACAACAUACAUCACACUUGACCAGAAUUCAGUAGAGAUGGAGCUAACAGAAGGCAGAAACCAGACAAACUGGGUACAAGUUUGAACCCAGCUUUGCAGAUGUAGUAAUUAUGGCUAUAAAAAUAAACUAUGGUUGGGACCAACUUUAAAAAUCAGUGUAAAUGUGUUAACAACUAAAAAUUACAGGCAAAACUCAACAGCUCUGGUAUGUUCCAUCAUACCUCAUAUAGCAGAAAGUAAAAUAAUAGAAAUAAAGAUUUCUCUGAUAAAAAAAGAAAAAGAAAGAGAGAGAGAGAGAGAAAUCUUGCUUACUUGGACCAAUCAAUCAUAAGUCCUUUUUCUAUUACAGUAGACUUAAUAAAGCUUUCUCAGUAGGUUGGGGGAUUUAUAUUGGUGAUGAUAAGAGUAUAAACAGAAUGUUAAUAUCAGAACGAAUUAAUAAUAAGUGGAAAUCAGUGUAAGAAUAUGGAACGAACAUACAGUUCUUAAGCUAUUUUUCA